rnacentral:rRNA from 1 species
AGUGAACGCUGGCGGUAGGCCUAACACAUGCAAGUCGAACGGCAGCACAGUAAGAGCUUGCUCUUACGGUUGGCGAGUGACGGAUGGGUGAGGCAUACAUCGGAAUCUACUUUUUCGUGGGGGAUAACGUGGGGAAACUUACACUAAUACCGCAUAUGACCUACGGGUGAAAGCAGGGGAGCUUCGGACCUUGCCCGAUUGAAUUAGCUGAUGUCGGAUUAGCUAGUUGGCGGGGUAAAGGCCCACCAAGGCGACGAUCCGUAGCUGGUCUGAGAGGAUGAUCAGCCACACUGGAACUGAGACACGGUCCAGACUCCUACGGGAGGCAGCAGUGGGGAAUAUUGGACAAUGGGCGCAAGCCUGAUCCAGCCAUACCGCGUGGGUGAAGAAGGUCUUCGGGUUGUAAAGCCCUGUUGUUGGGAAAGAAAAGCAGCAGAUGAAUACACCGCUGUUCUGACGGUACCCAAAGAAUAAGCACCGGCUAACUUCGUG